rnacentral:rRNA from 1 species
UGGGGAAUUUUGCACAAUGGGGGAAACCCUGAUGCAGCGACGCCGCGUAAUUUAGAAGGCCUUCGGGUUGUAAAAAUCUUUUCUAUGGGAAGAAAAUGACAGUACCAUAGGAAUAAGGACCGGCUAAUUACGUGCCAGCAGCCGCGGUAAUACGUAAGGUCCGAGCGUUGUCCGGAAUCAUUGGGCGUAAAGGGUACGUAGGCGGGUAAGCAAGUUAGAAGUGAAAUCCUAUAGCUCAACUAUAGUAAGCUUUUAAAACUGCUCAUCUUGAGGUAUGGAAGGGAAAGUGGAAUUCCUAGUGUAGCGGUGAAAUGCGCAGAUAUUAGGAGGAAUACCGGUGGCGAAGGCGACUUUCUGGCCAUAACCUGACGCUGAGGUACGAAAGCGUGGGUAGCAAACAGG